GAUGAACGCUGGCGGCGUGCUUAACACAUGCAAGUCGAACGAUGAAGCCCAGCUUGCUGGGUGGAUUAGUGGCGAACGGGUGAGUAACACGUGAGUAACCUGCCCUUAACUCUGGGAUAAGCCUGGGAAACUGGGUCUAAUACCGGAUAGGAGCGUCCACCGCAUGGUGGGUGUUGGAAAGAUUUAUCGGUUUUGGAUGGACUCGCGGCCUAUCAGCUUGUUGGUGAGGUAAUGGCUCACCAAGGCGACGACGGGUAGCCGGCCUGAGAGGGUGACCGGCCACACUGGGACUGAGACACGGCCCAGACUCCUACGGGAGGCAGCAGUGGGGAAUAUUGCACAAUGGGCGAAAGCCUGAUGCAGCGACGCCGCGUGAGGGAUGACGGCCUUCGAGUUGUAAACCUCUUUCAGUAGGGAAGAAGCGAAAGUGACGGUACCUGCAGAAGAAGCACCGGCUAACUACGUG
rnacentral:rRNA from 1 species